rnacentral:rRNA from 1 species
AUUGAACGCUGGCGGAAUGCUUUACACAUGCAAGUCGAACGGCAGCACGGGGGCAACCCUGGUGGCGAGUGGCGAACGGGUGAGUAAUACAUCGGAACGUGCCCGGUCGUGGGGGAUAACGUAGCGAAAGGUACGCGAAUACCGCAUACGAUCUGAUGAUGAAAGCGGGGGACCUUCGGUCCACGCGCGAUUGGAGCGGCCGAUGUCAGAUUAGGUAGUUGGUGGGGUAAAGGCCUACCAAGCCGACGAUCUGUAGCUGGUCUGAGAGGACGACCAGCCACACUGGGACUGAGACACGGCCCAGACUCCUACGGGAGGCAGCAGUGGGGAAUUUUGCACAAUGGGCGAAAGCCUGAUCCAGCCAUUCCGCGUGCAGGACGAAGGCCUUCGGGUUGUAAACUGCUUUUGUAUGGAACGAAAAGGCUCUGGCUAAUACCUGGGGCUCAUGACGGUACCGUAAGAAUAAGCACCGGCUAACUACGUG